UACAGAGGUCUCAAGCGUUGUUCGGAUUCAUUGGGCGCAAAGGGUGCGUAGGUGGCGCUGUAAGUCGGGUGUGAAAUUUCGGAGCUUAACUCCGAAACUGCAUUCGAUACUGCGGUGCUUGAGGACUGGAGAGGAGACUGGAAUUCAUGGUGUAGCAGUGAAAUGCGUAGAGAUCAUGAGGAAGACCAGUGGCGAAGGCGGGUCUCUGGACAGUUCCUGACACUGAGGCACGAAGGCCAGGGGAGCAAACGGG
rnacentral:rRNA from 1 species